rnacentral:lncRNA from 1 species
AGAAAAGGGCAUAUCUGGUGGAGACCCUCAGUAGUAAUAAAUAGCCAAGCACAAUGGUGACAUGUUUGAAAAAUUUGUUUCUUUACUGUAUCUUUGUGUCCAUGAUGGUGUGGUUGGUGCAUGGGGUAGGCGAUCGUGAUAGUAAGGGCGAGGGGGCCACAAUAAAGGUUAAAAGAAAUGAUAAUGGCGUCAUUUCAGUCUAUAUUGAUGGAAAAGAUUAUGCAUACAUUUUUAACGUGACCAAGGCUUUGCAAGAUCUUGGGAGGGAUCCUAUAAGACAAAUUUGGCGCCAUUCUGAUGUCUUUAAGCCACUGACAAGGACUUUGGCAGAAAGGGAUUCCAUAUUUGUAACCAAUGAUACAAUACACAUAGAUUCAGACAGUCUGUUUGUCUGCCCGGUUGGUAGGGGCUAUCCCACCAUUACCAGCCAGGUUCAGUGGAAAGACCUUCCCCCUGGCUAUCUUGGCAAAUUUGGGUGGCAAAAGAAUAUGGCCCUGAAGGAAUUUAAUGAAAAUGAAAGAUUUACCAUGUUUUCAGAGAAUGAGCGGGAGAAGACACUGGUGGUGGGGAAAGAUAAAUAUGUGGAAUAUGGAAGCCUGACCUGGAUGAUGCCUGAAUGGGGCGGGACCUAUGGAGUUGUGACUAAUAGUUUUGCCUUUGUCUCUGUCAACAUAACUGUGGAGUCCCAAGUUUGUUCUGCGUCCAUAAUUUUUUCCCAUAAUAAAGGUGGACCAAGUUUCAAAGGAUCAAUUGUGCCUGAAAAAAUUCUCAUUGGUAAAACUGAUUUAUAUAGCAUGUAUUUUAUAGCCUUCAACACCAAGCCUGUCUGUCAAACGGAUAUCAUAACUGGGAUUGAACUCCAGAACCUGUUUGUUCAAAUGGUUACAGAGUUACCAGAGAAUAUAAUGGCGGAUAUUGCCAAUGAUGUGGCCUAUUUCUCUGCUGUUAAUUGCCAUCCCUUGAAGAUUCCUGUUCCCAGGCUUAUAAGGACAUUUACAAAACUGACAAUUUCUCAUUUUCUGACAAUAUCAGGCAUUGUGGCCACCAAAACAGAUACAGUAGACGUUGGUUGCCUGAUUCAGCAGCUAGCGGACCUCAGGUACUUGAGAGAAUCCCUCAGUGCUUGCAGUAUGGCCUACUCUCCUCACAUGUUUACAUCUAAUUUCCUGAAGUUUCUGUCAGGGGUGCAGAUAGAAAGGCUGCCAAAAGCCACCCAGAUCCCUCAGGCGGAUAUGUCAAGAGCCAUGGCGAUGCUAAGGUUUGGAAUCACCAACUACAACGUCUCCGCCCACGCCUUCACAUUCAUGGAGGAAAUGUUUGAGAACAUCUAUAGGGAAUAUUCAUAUGUCUAUUCUCUAACAUCAGAAACCAGGAAGGCAAUGAUGGGCGUGAGCGAAACCUUAAAACACGUUGCCAAGCUCUGGAAGUUCACAACUAAGGACUUGAUAAAAUUGUUCACCAUAGCUACGUCCAUGUGUACAAAUAAUGAAAUUAGUACCAUGGUUGAAAGACACGCCCCCCUUUGGGACAUCGAUGCAGUGGAAACUUUCUCUCCCUGCUAUCUGAGUCUCAGAUUUGACUUUAGUGCCAAUAAGAUAAAUUUUGAGGUGGAGCAGACUAGUCAGCUCACGCCCAAGAGGACUUCUGGGGGUGUGUCUGGCUUUCUCACAGACCUUCACAACCAUCAUCUGGACCUGGUGGCAACGCUGCCUUUUGUAAAGUGUUUGUCUCAUGUUAUCAACAACACUGAUGUGAUACUGCCACUGGAAAAAAUAACAUAUAUCAUCAGCAAGGAAGCUGUACCGGGGGUGACAGUGUAUGAUGUAGCUGAGACCUUUCUAGAGAGUAAGUUGGUGAUAUCUGUGUUCACGGACGAAUGUCAGCCAGCCCUGCAAGACACGGAUGUGCACAGAACUGUUCCAGUAAUUUAUAAUAUCAGUGAUAGCAGAUGUCAAUUUUGUGGUUCGAUCAUCAUGAGUUAUGAUGAAUCACAGGGAUUUCUGGCAGCUAUGUAUGUGUCAGACAAAACCAUCCAGACAAAUUUGUUUCUCCCAGAAUCACCCUUUUUUGAUAAUCACAAUACCCACGUGCACUAUCUUUGGCUCAUGAGCAAUGGAUCUGUUGUGGAACUUAGAGGAAAAUACAGGAGGCAAAUUCA